UACGUAGGGCGCAAGCGUUGUCCGGAAUUAUUGGGCGUAAAGAGCUCGUAGGCGGCCAGUUGCGUCUGCUGUGAAAUCCCGGGGCUCAACCCCGGGCGUGCAGUGGAUACGGGCUGGCUAGAGGCAGGCAGGGGAGAACGGAAUUCCCGGUGUAGCGGUGAAAUGCGCAGAUAUCGGGAGGAACACCGGUGGCGAAGGCGGUUCUCUGGGCCUGUACUGACGCUGAGACGCGAAAGCGUGGGGAGCGAACAGG
rnacentral:rRNA from 1 species